GGGAGAACCCAGGGCAGGCUGUACGGAGAAGAAAAAUAAAAAGAAAAGGUUGUCCACUGCCAGACUUUGUCGUGUGUCCUUCCUGCCGGCCGGGAGCGGACAUCGACAUUUGGAGGCCCGCCCGGGGACUGAUCACCCCCGAGACGUGGAAGUGGACAACGCUCCAGUACAGAGCUGCGAGACAGGAAUACCAGGUUGAAUCAAUAAUCAAAAUUGCUACACAUAUUUUUUGUGAGUGGAACAUCUAUACUUGUGUGAGCUGUUCACUGAGAAUCUGUAACCCACAGGACAGGCGGAGAGGUCAGCUAGGAAACAGCAGAAAACAGAAGACAAGACUGCAGUGAUAGAAAAAGAUGGAUAUCAAGCCAAAUGCAACAGCACUGCAUGCUGUCGGGCAACAGCAAAGGAUCCCUGUGCAUGCAAAAAGAAAGUUGCACAAUAUGAAGGAGGCAGUAAAAAUGAAAUGAAGUAGAAGAGACAUGCAGAAAGAAAAAUGCUCUCGGAUAUGUCACAAUCAUCUUGAUUCUUUACCUGGAAAACCUGUAUUUUUUCCUUUGUAAUUAUCUAAUAUACUUUGUGUCAAAGAACAAGGACCUGAGUUCCACUUAAACAAGAUGAAGAAGUUAACAGAUACCGUUCUCGGGUUUUAUCAUGAAAUUAGAAAUGAAGAUUUUCAGUUUCUGGUAGUCAUGAACAGAGAGCCUCAGGUAAGCCCGAGAGUGCAGGCAGACAGUCAGGAUGCUCCUGCGCAGGCUCCUCAGGUGCAGCUGUGCUGGUGGGAAAAAUCAUGCUGUUUAGCCUAACGAGGCAAAACAGAAUAAAGGCCAAGGUAAUUCAGUAGAGAGGGUCUUAAAUGCACACCUGUAUCAGCUGCUGCCUCCUUCCCACCUGGUCUUCAUUUUUUCUCUGUGUAAUCUGUUUGCUUCCCUACUGGGCCUGCUAAGAUUAUCUGAUUCCAGGCCAAACUGAUAAUAUUUGUUAUGAGGCCUGCCAAAAUUAAUAAAAUUUGAGUUUGUCAUCUUGGUGUUCCCUGAACUAAAGUUAACUACCUAUGUCAAAUCCUAAAGUACACUUGUUACACCAGCAUCAGGCUAAGAUGUAAAUCUCCAUUUGAACUAAUGAACAGCUGCACUCCUCUUGAAACUCUACAUGCACAGAGAGAUGUUUGUUUGUAAGUGGAUACAAUAGACAGAGUGCUUGUUGGUGUUUUAAAAGCCAAAACCUGGAAUACUUUUCUUUUGACUUUACAUAUGGAGAAAAUUAUGGUGUAAAAUGUAGACAAGAAUAAAAUAAUACCAAGAUGAGAAGGUCCAUUAAAAAUGUAGAUGAGCAAAUGACUUUAGCGUUAUUAAUGCUGAUUGGGGAUUUGACUGGCCAAAUGAGCAUAUUUAUACUUGGGACCAAUUAAAAGGCUUACCAUUUUAAUCACUGGCAGAACUGGACAUUCAGUGUUUUCUUGGAUGACAAGAAUUUUCUUUUGUUGUUUUUUCAGUUUGGCUUUGUUUGGUCUAGUGAACUGCACCAGAGUGUCCUCAGUGUAGAGAAGAUAACAAUACACUACCACAGUGUUAGUAACAAUAUCUUGUUACUAACAUUUAGUAACAGUAUCUCAGAGUCUCUCCACAGCUUGAGGGGAAAACAUUGCUGCCAUUCCUACCCUGAGGAAAAUCUACAGUAACAGAAUGUUUCCGGAAGUAGAAACAUCCUACCAGUCGGGAACCUCCACGUGGACCCGACCUCUCAGCUUUCCCUGACUCCCCACCAGGGCAGCUGCUGUGUAGGAUCUGCUGUAACAUACCAACGGCACAGGCGGUGCAGUGCGUUGGGGCUGGACUCAUGGAGAAUGUCCUGGAGCUUCCCAAGAAGACCCCUCCAACAUUACUAGGCAAAAAGGUGGAUCAGGAAUACCCUCCUAAGCCCCGGGAACAGUUCCUCCUGAAAUAAUUAAAUAGACACACAUCUUUCAGCUUUGAUUUAUUUUUAAUCAGCAUGAAAAGACCAGCUUUCAGAUUCCCAAAGAAAUUGCAAACACAUCUUUAAAAAAAAAAUUAUGGGGAUCAAACUCAAAGACCCUCUACUUUGGCUAUUGGCACACAUUUCAUUCCUGGAGAUGGUUAGAAUAUGGUGUUUCUAAAAUAGAAGGACUUAUCUUUCCUCCUCUACUUUGCAACUAAGAUUAGCUUUCUUUCAGCACCAAAUGACAGCUUUCUGCCUGGCCCUCAGAGGAACAUGGAGCAUUCGAGGAUAAGAAGGGAAGAUAUUAGAGCACAGGCAAAGAGAUGACGAUGCCACAGAAGAGAUACAAGAUGCACUUUUCAAAGAUACGGUGAAUAAAGCCAGUUUGGAUGAGUGAGCUCAUAAUUUUUAACUAAUGUCCACACUCAUAGUGUUUAAUUAGGUAUUGUUGAAAGGUGAUGGAAGCUUUAGAAUUUGAGGACUGAUGGAAAUAGGCCACUGAGGAUAUAAUGGACCCUGAUACAUCCCCCAGCUUACCGCCAUAAGUUCUGAAGUUGUGAGACCAUGACAGCCCACAAGAUUGUUAAUUUAGUUCUUUAACAUCUCUCUCACCUAUAUGUGCCAUGUAUGUAUAUGGAUAUGUAUUUUAUUUCUAGUAUCUCUACCUCUGUAUUUUUUCUUUAUAAUAUAUUUAUUUUCUGGAUCUCUUGUUCUGACAUGCACAUUUAAAGGAAUCCUAACAUUUGACUCACAAUUUUUGAUGAUCUGCAGAAUAUUUCAUUGCUGGCUCACAUUUUCAUUUAUGUCAUUUGCCAUCAUUUAUACAUACAAAACAUGUGAUUGAGGAACUUCAAUUUGCUGCAAAGUGAGCAGAACUCAA